AGGUAAGGCUCGAUGUAGACUACAUCGUUGAUAGGCCGGAGGUGGAAGUGUGGUAACACAUGCAGCUGACCGGUACUAAUAAGCCGAGGGCUUGACCUUA
rnacentral:rRNA from 1 species